UUAAUAAUACUGUUACCUGCAUUCUACAGAUAGAAACGGGUGAUGAGUGAGACAACUGUCCACCGCAAGUGCAUGUUGGACUAUCGAACUUCCGAAUUAGUUUCAUGGCUGAUGUUAUAGACGCUGUUAAGUACCAUCAUGCAAGGAACGCUGGCGCAAUAUACGCACCUCUUUUGCGCGCUCCAUCAAUGUAAACAAAG